rnacentral:rRNA from 1 species
AUUGAACGCUGGCGGCAGGCCUAACACAUGCAAGUCGAACGGUAGCACAGAGAGCUUGCUCUUGGGUGACGAGUGGCGGACGGGUGAGUAAUGUCUGGGAAACUGCCCGAUGGAGGGGGAUAACUACUGGAAACGGUAGCUAAUACCGCAUAACGUCUUCGGACCAAAGUGGGGGUCCUUAGGGCCUCACACCAGCGGAGGUGCCCAGAUGGGAUUAGCAAGGAGGUGGGGUAACGGCUCACCUAGGCGACGAUCCCUAGCUGGUCUGAGAGGAUGACCAGCCACACUGGAACUGAGACACGGUCCAGACUCCUACGGGAGGCAGCAGUGGGGAAUAUUGCACAAUGGGCGCAAGCCUGAUGCAGCCAUGCCGCGUGUAUGAAGAAGGCCUUCGGGUUGUAAAGUACUUUCAGUGGGGAGGAAGGCGAUGGAGUUAAUAGCUUCGUCGAUUGACGUUACCCGCAGAAGAAGCACCGGCUAACUCCGUGCCAGCCGCCGCCGUAA